rnacentral:piRNA from 1 species
UUCCUCUUUUUUCCCAUACAC